AAAUGCAGAAGCCAUCUCCUUUUGUGCCAACUGCCUCAUCAAGCCUCCUGCACAGUGCACAGGGCUGCCCUGGGUGGACCAUCUCCCUCUGACUGUUCUCCUGCUGCUGGGCUGGAGACCCCUUCCUGUGGGAUGCUGCCAUCAGGUCUGGGAUUCCCAGCAGUUCUUCUGACUCUGCAUUCACUCAGGAGCUGCUUGCAAUUGCCGAAAGGUGGGCUCAUAAUCUAGCCUAGGUGUGAAUGAUAUGAUGGAUGCUGAUUUCUCUGUGUCACCUCCACAGGAGCCAGCUAAGGAUCUCCCUAGCUGUCCAGCCCAGCUGUCCACUGCCAACCAGCAGCAAAUCUCCCUCUCUACUCACAAACACAAGAGCUGAGUUCACAGGAGGAUCCUCACUGUUGGUGGAUGCAGACUUGUCCCUGUUGCAGACCUGGCUGGUUGUGGAAGAGGAGCUGGGGACACCCACAGAAACAUCACUGACAGCACAGGUGUGUAGCCACCCCCAAAACCCCACUGCCUGCAAUGGUUUUGCUAAUGGUACCUAGGUUUUCCAGCCCUCACCCAGAGCAGGAGCAGAACUAUGGCACAGUUGUAUUGGCCUGUUGAGGUAAUGACAUGUUGACACAUUGAGAAUUACACACAGUCUACUUCUUGAGCACACUUUGCUACCUCCUAGCUUAUAAAUUCUUAUACAGAUUGCCCUGCGUUUUCUCUUUUAAAUUCUUGUCUGGGCUAUAGCUGUUGGCACUCUAGGAACACAGACUGCUGCCUUGAUCCAAGGUGACUUUUGAAUGUGUCAGGCACAGGAGCCAAAGGACUCCACCAGCAAUGCAGGGUCUCCUCUGCCACCAAGCGCACCUCCUGCUCAGCAGAGCAUUUCAGACUUAGUUGUUCAUUUCAUUCAGCACCUUUUGGGUUUCAACACAGAGCUCCUUUCUGUGGAAGUCUUUGGCUUUCAGUAAUAGCUUUCACCCACAAUGUUAACAGAUAAGAAAUGUAGAUGUUAUUAUGAACACAUGGUGGUUUCUAAGACAUCAGUGUGAAGCUCUUUGCUUUGGUGGUUUUAGAACAUUCCUGCCUGGGAGAGAGACAGGCAUCACUGCACUGGGGUAGGAAGUGGUAAGAUAGGCUAUUUAGCAGAGUCAAAGAACUGUGCAGACAGGGGUGUUGCUCUGGCGCUGAAUGUAAGAAAUCUUGUAGAUUGGAAGAAGUUUUGUAGAUUAUCAUAAAACACUUUCUCCUCACUGCUGCCUGGUGCUGCAGUGGAGCUCUGAGUGCAGUACAUUUUCUACAGAGGUGGGCAAACUGCACAGCACCAUUGCUCCUAAAAUUUAUCUUUUCAUUGGAACAAUGAAAACUCACAUUGUGUGGUGUGGGGAGCUGCAAGCCAAGAUAAUGUCCAUUGUAAACACAGCACAGUAUCAGCAGAAGAAGUCUCCAAUCACCUUUGAAUUCUGACUAGAUCUGGAAGUUUCAGAAAAGAGUAACCAUUUUUCUUUGAGAUAAUCCCCUUGAUAUCCAGCCAAAGAAGUCUGCUAAAACUUUAGAGUACUUGUUUGAAUACAGUAUUUGAGUCUUUAAAGUUCAUAGAUACUGCAUUUCUACCCCUUUAGGAUAAUACACAUCGAUGGCAUUUGUGCUACGCAAGUAUUUUUCUUGUGAGCCUCUUUAGGAACACACAAGAAACACAAACUCCAUUAAAAUUGGUUAACCAAACGUGUGUAGAUCAAGACUUGUUUUCACAUGAAAAAAAAUAAUAAGGAUCUCCUCCUCCCUUCCUGUAUGAAAUCAGAGUUCAAAGAAGCUAUACUUUCAGAUACUAUAAUUAGGUUUAAUUAAAAAAAAAAAAAAAAAAAAAAAAAUCUCUUUCCUCUUAAUUAAUAUAAGGCUUCCUCGAGAAAAUUUCAAAUGCAUUAAGGAGUGAUUUUCUUUUUCAUUUCAAAAAGCUUCUCUUUAAUUUAAAAGUUAAAAGACCUUGAAGACCAAUAUUAGCGAUGGAAGCACAGCUGAACUUUUUUGAGGGGAGGAUAACUGUAAUAUCAACAACUUGUUAGAGGCAAAGAAUGCUUCAAUGAGUAGGAAGCUGUCUUUGGACUCACAGAACAGUGAAUUUUCUUUAGAGAAUACCAAAUUAAUGAUUAAUCAGUUUUAGGAAAUGAGAGUGUUUGUGGGUCCAGCUUCCUGUUUUAAUAGGUUUUCACAAAAUUAAAAAAAAAAAAAAGUAAAAUAUUUAAUUCUGACAAUUUUCAAACAAAAUUUUUUGGCAUUUUAGAAUGAUAUUUUUGUUUUGACUUUUAAAAUUAGCUGAAGUCAUAAAACAUGGUAAAUAGAUCUUUCUUUGGCAGAAAAAUUUGUCUUCCAUUGAGAGAAAGGUUUAGGUCAAUGAAGGACAUGCUCCAUCUCAACAUACAUGCUGCACACCCCUCUGUGUCCCAGGAAGUCUUUAAUAACUAUUUUUACUAUCAGGAUAAACUGAAAAAUAUGUUAAGUUUUCCAGCUACUAUAUCCAAUAUCUUCAUACAUUUUUUAGAAGCUUAGGAUUUAGUUACUGGCUGUGCAGUAGAGUCCCUGGGUAACAUUGGUGGACUCUGACAUGGAUUUGCAAGAACAUUCAUGUGAAAUUUAUAUCUGAUUUAGGCAACAAAGUUUAAAACCUAAUCCUUGAAAAUACUGAUGAAGUUUUCCUGAGGAAGUUUACCUCCCUUUCCACUGCAGCGUGGGCAUUUGUAGUCCCAAAGAACUGGGGAUUCUUUUUUCUUAAACGUAACGUAAGUCAGUACGUAAGUCAGUAACGUAAGUCAGAGGAGGUUUGUAUUCACAGCAAAAUUACAUGGAGAGUUUUUCUUGUGCAACUGAUGAUAGUGGCAUGAAAAAAAAAAAAAAAAGUCUUUAUUACAUCAACAGAUUGACCUCAUUCAAUAGAUAUGAAGCAGCAUGCUUUGAGUUUGCAAAUGUCGUUUUCAGACUUUGAUGCUCAUGACUUGCAUGCUCAGGGUGUUUUUGCAAAGGAUGUGAGACAUUCAGGCUCAGCUAUUUUUCAAUGUGAGGGUUCCUAUUCACAUUAAACCUCCAUCUACUCGGCGGUGCCUUAAUUCCCAGGCUGUAUUCUAGUUGGAGAACACUCUGUGUGGUGCCGUGGGAAGCUGUUCAUGAGGUAUUUGAGGCUCAGUGAGACAAGAGGAGAAAUACUGUGCAGACUAAUUGUAGAGUUGUUGUGCAUAUUUACCCCGGUCCAAAAAUAUUCAUGUGUUAUGCAACACUGCAUGAAUAGUCCUUGGAGUAAGGAUUCCCUCUGUCAGGUGUCCCUUGAACUGUGAUUGUCAGCUCCCGUCUACAUGCACAUCACAGCAUUGCACUAAGGCUGUGCAGCUGACUGGGUUGUGAAGGCAUCUGGGUUACUGAGAAACCACUGUAUUCAUGGCUCACCAGUGUUUCACCAGUUUCAGACUAUCUUGACUGUGUAGCCACUGAGUGACUGAAAAAAAAAAAAAAAUAGAUCUCUUGUGUCCUAAUUUAGGUCUCUUGAGACUACCGGAAAACAUUCACUGAACUCACUGAAUGGCCAAAAUCAUUAGUGUUGCAUGUCACUCAGAUUCUUUGUUAGUAUUUGCAUUUUUCAAAUUGAUCCUUUCUCUUUCAUGAUAUGGCUUAUUUUUACAAAUAAUACUUCAUUUUUUUAUAAUUAUUCAAAUUUAUUUCCUGUAUUUGCCUGUUAAUUUGACAGAUGCAGCAGAUCAUCAUUCCAGGAAAAUAAAAACUACAGAGUGCUGCA
rnacentral:lncRNA from 1 species